CCUACGGGAGGCUGCAGUAGGGAAUCUUUCACAAUGGGCGAAAGCCUGAUGGAGCAACGCCGCGUGCAGGAUGAAGGCCUUCGGGUUGUAAACUUCUUUUAUAUGGGAAUAAAACAGGGUAUGCAUACCCUCUUGUAUGUACCAUAUGAAUAAGGAUCGGCUAACUCCGUGCCAGCAGCCGCGGUAAUACGGAGGAUCCGAGCGUUAUCCGGAUUUAUUGGGUUUAAAGGGAGCGUAGGUGGAUUGUUAAGUCAGUUGUGAAAGUUUGCGGCUCAACCGUAAAAUUGCAGUUGAAACUGGCAGUCUUGAGUACAGUAGAGGUGGGCGGAAUUCGUGGUGUAGCGGUGAAAUGCUUAGAUAUCACGAAGAACUCCGAUUGCGAAGGCAGCUCACUGGACUGCAACUGACACUGAUGCUCGAAAGUGUGGGUAUCAAACAGGAUUAGAUACCCGUGUAGUC
rnacentral:rRNA from 1 species